AUACGGAGGGUGCAAGCGUUAUUCGGAAUCACUGGGCGUAAAGGACGCGUAGGCGGGUUGGCAAGUCAGAUGUGAAAUCCUACAGCUUAACUGUAGAACUGCAUUUGAAACUGCUAACCUAGAGUAUGGGAGGGGGAGAUGGAAUUAGUGGUGUAGGGGUAAAAUCCGUAGAUAUCACUAGGAUUACCGAAAGCGAAGGCGAUCUCCUGGAACAUAACUGACGCUAAGGCGUGAAAGCGUGGGGAGCAAACAGGAUUAGAAACCCUAGUAGUCC
rnacentral:rRNA from 1 species